GCCCCCUUAGCGCAGUGGAUAGCGCAAAUGCCUUCUAAGCAUUAGGUCGCAGGUUCGAAUCCUGCAGGGGGUA
rnacentral:tRNA from 1 species